UACGGGGGGGGCAAGCGUUGUUCGGAAUUACUGGGCGUAAAGGGCGCGCAGGCGGCACAAGAAGUUGUGGGUGAAAUCCCUCGGCUCAACCGGGGAAUGGCCUGUGAAACCAUUGUGCUGGAGUGCUGGAGAGGGAAGCGGAAUUCCCAGUGUAGCGGUGAAAUGCGUAGAUAUUGGGAGGAACAUCUGAGGCGAAGGCGGCUUCCUGGACAGACACUGACGCUGAGGCGCGAAAGCCAGGGGAGCAAACGGG
rnacentral:misc_RNA from 1 species